UACAGAGGUCUCAAGCGUUGUUCGGAUUCAUUGGGCGUAAAGGGUGUGUAGGUGGCGCGCUAAGUCGGGGUGUGAAAUUUCGGAGCUUAACUCCGAAACUGCAUUCGAUACUGGCGUGCUUGAGGACUGGAGAGGAGACUGGAAUUUACGGUGUAGCAGUGAAAUGCGUAGAUAUCGUAAGGAAGACCAGUGGCGAAGGCGGGUCUCUGGACAGUUCCUGACACUGAGACACGAAGGCCCAGGGGAGCAAAACGGGG
rnacentral:rRNA from 1 species